GGGAUGUUGAGGUCAGCACAUGGACUGUUGGUGACAGCACCUUGACUUCUCUCCUCCAGCUGCCUCCUUUCCUCUCAACCCUCACUUCAUUCCCAAAAAAAAAACCCUAAGGCACUCUCUCGAAAAACCCUAGCCGCCGAGCAUUCUCCCUAAAACUUUCACGCCCACACCCUCAGCUGAGAAGAGGGAGCCACACUCUCCCUCUCCUCAGUCACCUUCACACCUUCUUGACCAUAUCCUGAUCAUCAUCAGCAUCACCUCAAGUUCUUUCUUUUCUCCUAGGCAUCCACCAGCAAUCAUCAUCAUCUCUCGUCGAUCAUCUUCAGCCCAUCAUCGACUCCACAAGAUCAGCUUCUUCAUGUUUCUCUCGGUGAAAACAGAACAGCGGACAGCUCAGAAGCCAACCCCCUUUCAAUCGGCUCUCACUCUCGGCCGGCCUCCUCUCCUGCACACCUCCAUCGGAUCACAAACCUCUCGAGUUUAUCAGCUCACGGCCGAGCUGGCCUCCUUUACUCCGAGCUAAGUCUCGUGCAUCGCCUCUCUUUCCCGUGCUCACUCCUUUUGUUUUCUUUCUCGGUUACUUAGAUUUUUGUUCUGCCUCUUUAUUUCUUUCUUGCAGUACAACGAGCAUUUUGCCCCGUAUUGCUCCUCGCCUUCCUCUCCAUCGCUGUUGCUCCUCGCUGCCCCGCUUAGUCCUGAGCUCGACUCUUCCCCCCAUAAAUCAACCAUGAGCGAAAGAGAGAGUUGGUUUCAGAGCUUUAUGAGGCUCCUCUCGAUAGAUGUGGUGAAAUGGGAGCCUGGAGGCGUUUGGAUCGCUUAGGAUGCUCUCUGUUUUGUCUCGUGGCAAUCACGAAAUGCGAUUCGUGAAUACAUGAUAAUAUCCGAGAAGAUUCAAUUGAUUUCAUGAACAAAGAAUGAAUGAAAUGGACCCUAUUUCGGAUAUGGUUGUUCAGCAUGUCAUCUCGAGCUUGCGUGGAGAAGAAAAGGGACGAGAAGACCGAUGCUAGAUCGGCUCGAAGACGACGUGGAGACCUACCUAGGCCUAGGUUGAGUCUCGACUUGAAAACCACCUCGGUCCGCGGCAGUCAUGGAUCUUUCGAGCCAACUCAUCCCAGAACCUCUUGGGAUUAGGUAAAAAUCUCUAUCUUAGUAUCAUGAGAUAGGUCUUUCGAUUGUUGAUGAGUGGAAUAAUUUCUAAACCCAAUUUUAUAAACUUUUCCAAUCAUUCCAUGGAACUUUUCAAUCUGUUUUAGUUCAGUUCCUAUGACAUUUUUUAUUUUUUUAGAUCUGCCCCAAAUUUUAAAAUUAUUUUCAGUUAAGUCCCGGCCAUUUUUAAUAUUUCACAAUCAGUCCUUGAAUUUUUCAGAAUUUUUCAAACAUCCCAAAGAACUUUUCGAGUUGUUUCAGUUUAGUCCCAGGACCAUUUUUCGCCCUUUUCAUAUCUGCCCCAAGUUUUAAAAUUCUUUUCAGUCAAGUCCCAGUCAUUUUAAUAUUUCCCAAUCAGUCCUUGAAUUUUUCAUAAUUCUUCAAACAUCUCAAGGAACUUUUCAAGUUGUUUCAGUUUAGUCAUGGGGCCAUUUUUUUGCUUUUCAGAUCAGCCCGAACUUUCAAAUUCGUUUCAAAAAAAGUCUUGGGACACUUUCAACAAUUUUUACACAGUCCCCAAUUUUUCCAUAAUUUUCAAAUCAGUCCCCAAUUUUUCUAGAAUUUUCAAAUCAGUCCUUGAAAUUUUAUUCGAAUUUUCAAAUCAAUCCCUGCUCUUCUAAAAUUGUCCAAAUCAGUCCUCGAACAUUUUCCAAAGAUAUCUAAUCCCUUUCCUACUUGGAUUCCCGACCGACAAUGCAUGUGCCUUGUUUAAAUAUUUUUGUUUAUGUAAUUAUAUGUAUGCAACAUGAUAAUACGUGCUCUUUGCAUGAUUUUUUUAUUUUUCCAUGAAUCGGUGUCGUUUUAUCAAUUGCAUUAAUAUUAUGUUUGUGUAUAUUUGUAUGUGUUCAUCACGAUCAUGGCGGCAUCGAUUGUAUAAAAUUUGUAUGUUUGUUGUGUUUGACGUGAUAAUAUGCUCUUGGUCCGUGUUUAAGUGCUUUAUUUUCUCGUUUUAAUCGAAACCUCACAUGAAUCGGUUUAA